rnacentral:ncRNA from 1 species
AAUUGUCGAUUUUAAUCGUAUAAUCUUGGGGAUAUGGCCCAGAAGUUUCUACCGAGCUACCGUAAAUAGCUUGACUACGAGAAUCAUGAUU